UACGGAGGGUGCAAGCGUUUAAUCGGAAUUACUGGGCGUAAAGCGUGCGCAGGCGGUUUGUUAAGUCCGUUGUGAAAGCCCCGAGCUCAACUUGGGAAUUGCAGUGGAUACUGGCAGGCUGGAGUACGGUAGAGGAAGGUGGAAUUCCCGGUGUAGCAGUGAAAUGCGUAGAUAUCGGGAGGAACACCAGUGGCGAAGGCGGCCUCUGGACCGUACUGACGCUCAUGCACGAAAGCGUGGGGAGCAAACAGG
rnacentral:rRNA from 1 species